rnacentral:tRNA from 1 species
UCCCUUGUAGCUCAAUUGGUAAAGAAUCUGCCUGCAAUGCAGGAGACCCGGGUUUGAUUCCUGGGUUGGGAA